rnacentral:lncRNA from 1 species
CUGAUGUUUUCCUACAUGACAGAAUCAUGCAUCUGUUCAUCUGCCUGAAUACUAGGGACAGGGCCAUGGAUCUGUUCUUCUCCUUAUAUACUCAGAGAUACAGGUCCUCUUUUCUGUGGAUGGAUCAUCAAGUUGCCCUCAUGCAGUGGAAACACAGCCUUCAAAAGACAAAUGAUUCUCCCAUCCCUUUGAGUUCCUAUGUCUCAGCCUCCGGAACCUAGCCUAGAAUUGUACAAGACACCACCAGAAACCUCAGAAAUCAACGAGCAAAACACUGAAACAGAUUGCUUCUCCUCGCUGACUACAAGAUGGCUGCUACCCAUCCUGGGACCCUUCAUUGUCAUCAUCUGUAUGCAGCGCCUUGAUCAAUUUUUUUCCAAGGCUGGAUUCAUCCAGCCACUAACUUCCUCACCUCCCAAAAGCUGAUGAACAGAUAUCCCUACCGGUGUGAGACCCCAACCCCACCUACCAACUCAGCUCCUCCCCCUGACAAUGGCCCCAGUCAGCAUGAAGCUGCUACUUGAGACAGCUCAUGACCUCAUCCCUUAUAACAAGGAGCCGUGAAUGUAAGGCCUAAACCCACCAGGCCUAAGCACAGCAUCCUUCAUCCUUCAGCAGCCUUCUUGGCCCUAGCAGCAGCUCGGAAGGAGGCCUCAGCAC